rnacentral:rRNA from 1 species
UGGGGAAUAUUGCACAAAUGGGCGAAAGCCUGAUGCAGCGACGCCGCGUGAGGGAUGACGGCCUUCGGGUUGUAAAACCUCUUUCAGCAGGGAAGAAGCGAAAGUGACGGUACCUGCAGAAGAAGCGCCGGCUAACUACGUGCCAGCAGCCGCGGUAAUACGUAGGGCGCAAGCGUUGUCCGGAAUUAUUGGGCGUAAAGAGCUCGUAGGCGGUUUAGUCGCGUCUGCUGUGAAAACUCGAGGCUCAACCUCGGGCUUGCAGUGGGUACGGGCUGACUAGAGUGCGGUAGGGGUGACUGGAAUUCCUGGUGUAGCGGUGGAAUGCGCAGAUAUCAGGAGGAACACCGAUGGCGAAGGCAGGUCACUGGGCCGCAACUGACGCUGAGGAGCGAAAGCAUGGGGAGCGAACAGGAUUAGAUACCCUGGUAGUCCAUGCCGUAAACG